rnacentral:rRNA from 1 species
CCUACGGGAGGCAGCAGUGGGGAAUUUUCCGCAAUGGGCGCAAGCCUGACGGAGCAAGACCGCGUGAGGGAGGAAGGCUCUUGGGUUGUAAACCUCUUUUAUCAGGGAAGAAGAUCUGACGGUACCUGAUGAAUCAGCAUCGGCUAACUCCGUGCCAGCAGCCGCGGUAAUACGGAGGAUGCAAGCGUUAUCCGGAUUUAUUGGGCGUAAAGCGUCCGCAGGUGGUUAUUCAAGUCUGCUGUUAAAGCGCGAGGCUUAACUUCGUACAGGCAGUGGAAACUGGAUGACUGGAGUAUGGUAGGGGUAGCGGGAAUUCCCAGUGUAGCGGUGAAAUGCGUAGAUAUUGGGAAGAACACCAGCGGCGAAAGCGCGCUACUGGGCCAUUACUGACACUCAUGGACGAAAGCUAGGGGAGCGAAAGGGAUUAGAUACCCCUGUAGUCCUAGCUGUAAACGAUGGGUACUAGGUGUUGACCGUAUCGACCCGGUCAGUGCCGUAGCUAACGCGUUAAGUACCCCGCCUGGGGAGUAUGCACGCAAGUGUGAAACUCGAAAUGAAUUGAGGCUGAGAGUGCGAGGCGACGACGAGGGAGGAGG